CCCGUCACAUCACGAAAGUGGAUUGUACUAGAAGUCUGCAUGCUAACCGCAAGGAGGCAGCGGCCCAAGGUACGAUUCAUGAUUGGGGUG
rnacentral:rRNA from 1 species